GCAGCAGCCGCGGGAAUACGUAGGGUGCGAGCGUUAAUCGGAAUUACUGGGCGUAAAGCGUGCGCAGGCGGUUCGUUAAGACAGAUGUGAAAUCCCCGGGCUUAACCUGGGAACUGCAUUUGUGACUGGCGAGCUAGAGUAUGGCAGAGGGGGGUAGAAUUCCACGUGUAGCAGUGAAAUGCGUAGAGAUGUGGAGGAAUACCGAUGGCGAAGGCAGCCCCCUGGGCCAAUACUGACGCUCAUGCACGAAAGCGUGGGGAGCAAACAGGAUUAGAGACCCCCGUAGUCCCUGUCUCUUAUAC
rnacentral:rRNA from 1 species